GCCGGGUGUGGUGGCACACACCUUUAAUCCCAGCACUCAGAAGGCAGAGGCAGGUGGAUCUCUGUGAGUUCGAGGCCAGCCUGGUCUCCAUAGUGAAUCCAGGACAGCUGGGGCUACAGGGAGACCCUGUCUCGAAAAAGACCAAAAAAAAAAAAAAUGUUUGAGACAGGGUCUCACUAUGUAGCCUUGGCUGGCUUGGAACUUGCUAUGCAAACCAGGCUGGCCUCGAACUCACAGAGAGCCACCUGUCUCU
rnacentral:sRNA from 1 species